rnacentral:lncRNA from 12 species
CAUUGGGCCAUAUACUUCAUGUGUCAGAUGAUGGCGUGGUCCACUUGCGUUCCUAAUGCUUUCAGAAAGUGAUUUGUGAGACCCUGAUCAAUAACAAUAACAAAAAGUUGUCUCUUUAUCUGCUUGCAUUAUUUAGAAAAACAAGAGGGGGUGGGACAAAAUAUACAGAAAGCCCAGAAAGUUUUACUUUAAGAAAAUAACAUUUUGUGUCCUCACAUUAGGACCAGCUGGUUAAACUUGGAUAAGUUACUACUUCUCCCCAUAACCCAGAUUCUUCAGCUAUAAAACAAUCUGAAGAGUAAACAGCUACCUUGGCUGCAGGGAUGAAGUAGUUAAUGUGGAGAGAACACGCAUUUUACACGAGGUCCCUAAAGGGAAGCAAGAGGCUCUUUCCAUGCGCACAUGGGCAAUAGCAGCCUGGACUGACCACUCAGUGCAUCUGCCAC